rnacentral:rRNA from 1 species
AUUGAACGCUGGCGGCAUGCCUUACACAUGCAAAUCGAACGGUAACGGGCCUUCGGGUGCCGACGAGUGGCGAACGGGUGAGUAAUACAUCGGAACGUGCCCGAUCGUGGGGGAUAACGAGGCGAAAGCUUUGCUAAUACCGCAUACGAUCUACGGAUGAAAGCAGGGGACCGCAAGGCCUUGCGCGGACGGAGCGGCCGAUGGCAGAUUAGGUAGUUGGUGGGAUAAAAGCUUACCAAGCCGACGAUCUGUAGCUGGUCUGAGAGGAUGAUCAGCCACACUGGGACUGAGACACGGCCCAGACUCCUACGGGAGGCAGCAGUGGGGAAUUUUGGACAAUGGGCGCAAGCCUGAUCCAGCCAUGCCGCGUGCAGGAUGAAGGCCUUCGGGUUGUAAACUGAUUUGUACGGAACGAAAAGCCUUCUUUUAAUACAGGAGGGUCAUGACGGUACCGUAAGAAUAAGCACCGGCUAACUACGUG